ensembl:lncRNA
UCACCGUUAAAAACCGGCGGACGAGGCCGCUCGUGCCUCCGUCCUCAUGGAACCGGGACCGAUCGAUCCGCGUGCGCGUUCCGAUCGAACGGUUCGCGUGAGGAGACGCCGCGCGCGCUCGUCCCGGUGUGAUUGAUUUAAACGACCGUCGAUCACGUGAUUUAUGACGUGAUGGAUCGUAGGAAUCACUUGAAAUGACAGCAGGACGUUAAGAGCUCCGUGAUCGAUACACUGGGAUCAGAUUCGGAUGAUCACAUGAUCAGUGGCAUGAUAUAUGAUCGAUCCAUCAUCCCGGGAUCAAUAACUGCAGCAGCAGCUCUCACUUUCACGGGACCGAUCGACCAAAACAAAAUGGAGAUUUGUUUGUUUGUUUGCAGAAAAAAAACAGUUUAAAUCCAUAAACGGAGGCGAUCAGCUUAUCAAUGAUCGCAUCGAUCCGCGGCGUCAUAAAGGAGCACCAGGGAUUCAUCGUGUGAUCAGCUCGUCCACUACACGCACUUCGGUCCAAAAAUAAUUCGGACCAGAAUCAAUUAAUCAAGAAAAUAAUUAGCAGAAUGAUCAAUAACCGCUGAUUCAACGUGUCGAUCCAAGAGGAAGGUUAUUAGUUCUGAAGUUAUUGACAGGAAUAAAAAAAAACAUUCCUUCAGGUGACCUGAUCAAUAAACUGAUCAAAGCCGUGUAAAGAGUCACAUUUGAAACCUUCACAGCCUCUGAUGAAGAUGAAGAGCUGCAGUCUGUGUUAUUGAUCAAUGGUGUCUUCAUUGAUCGGUGUCAUAUCCAAUCGUGUGUUCUGGGUGAAUCACGUUAAACUGAGACAUUCACAUUACAGCUCGUUUGUCUGACGCUUUCCUCCAAAGCGACUUUGAACCCGUGUUUUUAUAUCUCGGGGAGCAGGUCAGGAACCGGCGUCUGGCUCAGGGGCAGCCGCCGGGGCUCAAACCACCAACCUUGCGGUUCCCGGCGCUCCCUCUACUCCUGCACCACGCCGACCCCAUUUGAGUUAUCAGUUCAAUCAGUUAUCAAUUAUUCUACUAAUCAAUAACAGCUAAAGGCUAUAAAAGCUGUGAUUGAUCAGGUGUUGAGUUCACCUGUCUGAGGAGCGAUCAACAAGAAGAAGCUCCGCCUCCAUCACGCUGCUCUGAUCAAUAUUUCAUACAGAAACUAGUUCAUCUGUGAGGAGGAUGAGGAGACGGGACACACUGAUGAAGGAGUGAGGAGACGGGACACACUG